GCCGGGCUAGUAUAUAGAGUACGGGUGGAUUACGCCCACUUAGAGGCCAUAGUCGGUCGCUCGGUU
rnacentral:tRNA from 1 species